UACGUAGGGGGCCAGCGUUGCUCGGAAUUACUGGGCGUAAAGGGUCCGUAGGCGGUGCGGUAAGUCGGAAGUGAAAUCUCAGGGCUUAACCCUGGGGCUGCUCCCGAAACUGCCGUGCUCGAGUGCGAGAGAGGCGAGUGGAAUUGCGGGUGUAGCGGUGAAAUGCGUAGAUAUCCGCAGGAACAUCCGAGGCGAAAGCGGCUCGCUGGAUCGCAACUGACGCUGAGGGACGAAAGCUAGGGGAGCAAACAG
rnacentral:rRNA from 1 species